rnacentral:lncRNA from 1 species
UUUGUGCCCUGAGCCCGGGCGCAGCGGCCGCAGCAGCUCCGGGCGUCCGUUCGGGAGCCCCGCCGUCUCUCGGCCCGUCCCCGGUAUGCGGCUCCAGUUGUGAGCACCGGCGACCCGGGGACGCCCGGCCGCACAACUACCUCAGCGCAGCGGUUGCUGCAGCGGCCCCAGGUGAGUCCCGACCUCCGGGCUGGGGGCUCCGGGCACCCCCAGGACACGCCCUGCGCCCCCCUCUCCCGUUCUUUGUCUGUCUCCGCCGGCGGCAGCCGGAGCUGCGUUCUUGGCUCCCUAUUGGUUGCUCCAAGCCGGUAGGCCAUGACGUUGCUUUAUUUGCAUAUGACAUUGAGACGUCACCAAGGCCAGCCCCGCCUUCCAGGCUUGCAUGGGUGCUUGUCCUCUGGUGACCCGGUGGGCGCUAUGUCGUGCCCAGCCGGCCGAGGGUUGAAGAGACGCUGAAAGACAAGCGGGAUCCGAAGGGACUCGGCGGUUUCCUGGGCUAAUCUAGGGACUGGGGUCAGGCCUCUCAUUUGUUUUUUCCUUGUGACCUGAGAGAGGGUAGGACAGCAAAGCUCGAUUUAAGUUGAGAGGGCGGUAAGUAGAUGGAGCUUCAGACUCCAGGUCCUGGAGACACUACCAGAUGGUAGCGGAUCCCCUCUGUCUUCAGGCUCCGCCCCCUAACAUAAUAACAUCCUUCUAAUCCCUGACAUGUGUGCAGAGCCUGAGUUGAUGUCAUUUUCAGCCUACAAAUAUUGAGGGUCUUAAGCCCCACUUCACGGAAGAGGAAACUGAGACUCAGAGAGACGUAGUUUACUGGAGAUCUCAGCCAAUUAGAAUCACACUCACUAAGUGGUAGAUUCCUUAGCUGAAGUAUAAGCUACAUGCUUACAUACAUCUACUGAGGACCCUAUCUUGGGUUCAGCACCAACCACAAUUUGAUGGGAUGCUUCAGUCUUCAUGAUCCUGGACAUUUUCCCAGGAGGUCUCUGAAAAUUGGGUCUCUUACAAGGCCCUGACCUCCUCUGCCUUCUUUCUACUUCAAAACCCAAUAAAUGGCCGUCUCCCAGCUGUUUUGACCACAGAAAGGUGAGUCACUAGUUGCCUGCCUCCAGGUGUCUCCAGGGCAGAUGUUGUUGAGAGGGAGUUGGGAGUUCCCUCUGUGGGCCUCCCAUCAGAGCUGUCAGCUGGGAGAACCAGACCCUUCCCUGGCAUUAGUGAUGCAGAGCUUAUGCUGUUUCCUGAGGCUGCUUCCAGAGUGACAGAAGGAUGUCUCUUACUUUCCAAGUAAGUAGAUCUGGAGUCCUUCCCAGGUUGAGGGUCGCUCAAGAAUGGCCUGGGCUAGGGUUGGCUUAGGCCUCCAGUGCUAUUCUAGGCACAGCCUCUGUAGUAUUAAGGGAAUGGUUCUUCCUGGAGCAGAGCCAGGAAUCUGAGAACCAGGAAGCCAGCAGGCUAGGAAAGAAAACCCAGGAGGCUCUCCUAGUGGUCAAAGGAGGGGGGCAGUCAUAGCUGGCUGGUUGCUACCAUCUCUCCUGGCUGUCACUCACUUCUGUAUGAUCUCCACCAGGGAGCUUCUCACUUGACAUGUCAACAGUUGAAAAGGCUCAUUGCAGGGACUGGUGCACAGUGUGAACCCUGGGAAAUGCAUGCAAAAGUUUGAUGCCAGGGACCAGAGAUCUACAGGGACCAGAGACCAGGGCCUGUGUCUGAUUUCCCUGUUUCCUGUGUAUUAUAUUUUUGGAUAUUACCUGUUGAGGUUUUUCUGAUUGUAUGUAUUCUGCAUUGCCACACCACCACUAAGCUAUAGCUUUAUUGGGUAGAUUCAUGUUCCCAAUUUGAUAUCACCAUCCCUAAAACAGGAGACUUGUUGUCUUGGUCCAGGGAAGGAGGCUUGGGUUUGAAGGCUUGGAUCUUGGUCCAAAGCUUGUGUUUAUCCUCAAGGGAUCCCUGGAUCUGACAGCUUCCUUCUUCCACUGUCUAUCACUGACAUGUGGUCUCACUGGACAGGAUUCUUUCUCUUGGCUAGUGAUGCUGAGUUUGAACAAGAGUCUAGGGGAAAGGGGAGUUAGAGUAGUGGGGCAGACCUGUAGGCACAGGUCCUCCUCAUCUGAGGGUUGCCCAAUCUCAUGGUAAGAUUGUAGAACUGAGCCGGGCGUGGUGGCACUCGCCUUUAAUCCCAGCACUCGGGAGGCAGAGGCAGGCGGAUUUCUGAAUUCGAGGCCAGCCUGGUCUACAAAGUGAGUUCCAGGACAGCCAGGGCUACACAGAGAAACCCUGUCUCGAAAAACCC